rnacentral:rRNA from 1 species
UACAGAGGGUGCAAGCGUUGUUCGGAAUCAUUGGGCGUAAAGGGCGUGUGGGCGGUCUGUUAAGUCGAACGUGAAAUCCCCGGGCUCAACCCGGGAACUGCGUCCGAUACUGGCAGGCUUGAAUCCGGGAGAGGGAUGCGGAAUUCCAGGUGUAGCGGUGAAAUGCGUAGAUAUCUGGAGGAACACCGGUGGCGAAGGCGGCAUCCUGGACCGGCAUUGACGCUGAGGCGCGAAAGCCAGGGGAGCAAACGGG